AGCAGCCGCGGUAAUUCCAGCUCCAAUAGCGUAUAUUAAAGUUGUUGCAGUUAAAAAGCUCGUAGUUGAAUUUCGAGACCGGUCUACUGGUCGUGCUUUUGUACGUACUGGUUUUAUUGGUUUCUCCUUUCUGACGAACUAUAAUGCCAUUAAUUUGGUGUUAUGGGGAAUCAGGACUGUUACUUUGAAAAAUUAGAGUGUUUAAAGCAGGCUCACGCUUGAAUACAUUAGCAUGGAAUAACGGAAUAGGACGUUUGAUUCUAUUUUGUUGGUUUCUAGGAUCGACGUAAUGAUUAAUAGGGAUAGUUGGGGGCAUUAGUAUUCAAUUGUCAGAGGUGAAAUUCUUGGAUUUAUUGAAGACUAACUACUGCGAAAGCAUUUGCCAAGGAUGUUUUCAUUAAUCAAGAACGAAAGUUAGGGGAUCGAAGACGAUCAGAUACCGUCGUAGUC
rnacentral:rRNA from 1 species